rnacentral:rRNA from 1 species
GACAGAGGUGCCAAGCGUUAGGCGGAAUCACUGGGCUUAAAGCGUGUGUAGGCGGAUGCCUAAGUACCUUGUGAAAUCCCACGGCUCAACCGUGGAACUGCUGGGUAUACUGGGUGUCUUGGGUCAGCUAGGGGUUGCCGGAACAAAUGGUGGAGCGGUGAAAUGCGUAGAGAUCCGGAAGAACACCGACGGCGAAGGCAGCGUCCUGGCCGAGCACUGACGCUCAGGCACGAAAGCGCGGGGAGCGAACAGG